AUGCUAGUCGCACGAGUUCAGACUCGUGGCGAAUAGCUCAGUAACACGUGGCCAAACUACCCUUCGGAACACAAUACCCUCGGGAAACUGAGGCUAAUAGUGUAUACCAUACCACCACUGGAAUGAGUGGUAUGCCAAACGCUCCGGCGCCGAAGGAUGUGGCUGCGGCCGAUUAGGUAGACGGUGGGGUAACGGCCCACCGUGCCAAUAAUCGGUAUGGGUCAUGAGAGUGAGAACCCAGAGACGGAAUCUGAGACAAGAUUCCGGGCCCUACGGGGCGCAGCAGGCGCGAAACCUUUACACUGCACGACAGUGCGAUAGGGGGAUCCCAAGUGCACAGGCAUAGCGCCUGUGCUUUUCGGUACCCUAAGGCGGUACCAGAAUAAGGGCUGGGCAAGACCGGUGCCAGCCGCCGCGGUAAUACCGGCAGCCCAAGUGAUGGCCGAUCUUAUUGGGCCUAAAGCGUCCGUAGCUGGCCGCGCAAGUCCAUCGGGAAAUCCACCUGCUCAACAGGUGGGCGCCCGGUAGAAACUGCGUGGCUUGGGACCGGAAGGCGCGACGGGUACGUCCGGGGUAGGAGUGAAAUCCCGUAAUCCUGGACGGACCGCCGAUGGCG
rnacentral:rRNA from 2 species